ACCCCGGUGGUGUAGUGGUAGCACGCGUCCCCGGUAUGAAAGAAACACUGGGUUCGACUUCCGUCUGAGUUCGUA